rnacentral:rRNA from 1 species
AACAAGGAUUCCCCUAGUAACGGCGAGCGAAGCGGGAAGAGCUCAAAUUUGGAAGCUGGCGUCUUCGGCGUCCGCGUUGUAAUCUCGAGACGUGUCUUCCGUGCGGCUCUAUGGACAAGUCCCUUGGAACAGGGCAUCGUAGAGGGUGAAAAUCCCGUACUUGCCAUGGAAGUACCGUGCUUUGUGAUACACGCUCCAAGAGUCGAGUAGUUUGGGAUUGCUGCUCAAAGUGGGUGGUAGACUCCAUCUAGGGCUAAAUAUCGGGGAGAGACCGAUAGCGAACAAGUACCGUGAGGGAAAGAUGAAAAGCACUUUGGAAAGAGAGUUAAAAGUACGUGAAAUUGUCAAAAGGGAAGCACUUGAAGUCAGCCAUGCUGCUUGAGACUCAGCCUGGCCUUUGGGCUUGGUGUAUUUCUCGGUGGCAAGCCAGCAUUGGUUUGGGUCGUCGGAGAAGCGCAUAGGGAAUGUAGCGUCUCCGGACGUGUUAUAGCCUUAUGCAGGAUACGACGACCUGGAUCAAGGAACGCAGUGUGCCCUCUGGGCGGGUCUUCGGACACCUUCACACUUAGGAUGCUGGCGUAAU